rnacentral:rRNA from 1 species
AAGACCUUGCGCUUUUGGAGCGGCCGAUGUCUGAUUAGCUAGUUGGUGGGGUAAUGGCCUACCAAAGCUUCGAUCAGUAGCUGGUCUGAGAGGACGGCCAGCCACACUGGGACUGAGACACGGCCCAGACUCCUACGGGAGGCAGCAGUGGGGAAUUUUGGACAAUGGGCGCAAGCCUGAUCCAGCCAUGCCGCGUGAGUGAAAAAGGCCUUCGGGUUGUAAAGCUCUUUCAGCCGGGAAGAAAAGGCUGCGACUAAUAAUCGCAGUUCAUGACGGUACCGGAAGAAGAAGCACCGGCUAACUACGUGCCAGCAGCCGCGGUAAUACGUAGGGUGCGAGCGUUAAUCGGAAUUACUGGGCGUAAAGGGUGCGCAGGCGGUUUUGUAAGUCAGAUGUGAAAUCCCCGGGCUUAACCUGGGAACU